rnacentral:tRNA from 1 species
CCGGUWAGCUCGUCAGGCUCAUAACCUGAAGGCCGCAGGUUCAAAUCCUGCCCCCGCAA